rnacentral:rRNA from 1 species
UGGGGAAUAUUGGACAAUGGGCGAAAGCCUGAUCCAGCCAUGCCGCGUGUGUGAAGAAGGUCUUCGGAUUGUAAAGCACUUUAAGUUGGGAGGAAGGGCAGUAAGCGAAUACCUUGCUGUUUUGACGUUACCGACAGAAUAAGCACCGGCUAACUCUGUGCCAGCAGCCGCGGUAAUACAGAGGGUGCGAGCGUUAACCGGAUUUACUGGGCGUAAAGCGUGCGUAGGCGGCUAAUUGAGUCGGAUGUGAAAUCCCCGAGCUUAACUUGGGAAUUGCAUUCGAUACUGGUUAGCUAGAGUGUGGGAGAGGAUGGUAGAAUUCCAGGUGUAGCGGUGAAAUGCGUAGAGAUCUGGAGGAAUACCGAUGGCGAAGGCAGCCAUCUGGCCUAACACUGACGCUGAGGUACGAAAGCAUGGGGAGCAAACAGG